CAAUAGCGUAUAUUAAAGUUGUUGCAGUUAAAAAGCUCGUAGUUGGAUUUCGGAUGGGACUUGCCGGUCCGUCGUUUCGAUGUGCACUGGCCAGUCCUAUCUUGUUGUCGGGGACUAGCUCCUGGGCUUCACUGUCCGGGACUAGGAGCUGACGAGGUUACUUUGAGUAAAUUAGAGUGUUCAAAGCAAGCCUACGCUCUGAAUACAUUAGCAUGGAAUAACACGAUAGGACUCUGGCUUAUCUUGUUGGUCUGUGAGACCAGAGUAAUGAUUAAGAGGGACAGUCGGGGGCAUUCGUAUUUCAUUGUCAGAGGUGAAAUUCUUGGAUCUAUGAAAGACGAACUUCUGCGAAAGCAUUUGUCAAGGAUGUUUUCAUUAA
rnacentral:rRNA from 1 species